rnacentral:rRNA from 1 species
GACGGGGCCCGCACAAGCGGUGGAGCAUGUGGUUAAUUCGACGCAACGCGAAGAACCUUACCAGGGCUUGACAUCCCCUGACCGCGUAUGAAAGUACGUUUUCACCCUCGGGUGACAGGGAGACAGGUGGUGCAUGGUUGUCGUCAGCUCGUGUCGUGAGAUGUUGGGUUAAGUCCCGCAACGAGCGCAACCCCUACGUUUAGUUGCUAACAGGUGAAGCUGAGCACUCUAGACGAACUGCCGUUGACAAAACGGAGGAAGGUGGGGAUGACGUCAAAUCAUCAUGCCCCUUAUGUUCUGGGCUACACACGUGCUACAAUGGCCGGUACAACGAGUUGCGAGUCGGUGACGGCGAGCUAAUCUCUUAAAGCCAAUCUCAGUUCGGAUUGUAGGCUGCAACUCGCCUACAUGAAGUCGGAAUCGCUAGUAAUCGCGGAUCAGCACGCCGCGGUGAAUACGUUCCCGGGCCUU